CCUACGGGUGGCAGCAGUGGGGCAUAUUGCACAAUGGGGGAAACCCUGAUGCAGCAACGCCGCGUGAGUGAAGAAGGAUUUCGGUAUGUACAGCUCUAUCAGCAGGGAAGAACAUGACGGUACCUGAUUAAGAAGCCCCGGCUAACUCCGUGACAGCAGCCGCGGUAAUACGUAGGGGGCAAGCGUUAUCCGGAUUUACUGGGUGUAAAGGGAGCGUAGACGGGAGUGCAAGUCUGGAGUGAAAGCUCCGGGCUCAACCCGUGAACUGCUCGGGAAACUGUGAGGCUAGAGUACUGGAGAGGAAGGCGGAAGGCCUAGUGUAGCGGUGAAAUGCGUAGAGAUUAGGAAGAACACCAGUGGCGAAGGCGGCCUGCUGGACAGUAACUGACGUUGAGGCUCGAAAGCGUGGGGAGCAAACAGGAUUAGAUACCCCAGUAGUC
rnacentral:rRNA from 1 species